CCUACGGGAGGCAGCAGUAAGGAAUAUUGGUCAAUGGGCGCAAGCCUGAACCAGCCAUGCCGCGUGCAGGAUGACGGCCCUCUGGGUUGUAAACUGCUUUUAUACGGGAAGAACAGCAUCUACGUGUAGGUGUUUGACGGUACUGUAAGAAUAAGGACCGGCUAACUUCGUGCCAGCAGCCGCGGUAAUACGAAGGGUCCAAGCGUUAUCCGGAUUUAUUGGGUUUAAAGGGUGCGUAGGCGGCUUUUUAAGUCAGUGGUGAAAGCCUGAUGCUCAACAUCAGAACUGCCAUUGAUACUGAAGAGCUUGAGUACAGUUGAGGUUGGCGGAAUGUGCCAUGUAGCGGUGAAAUGCUUAGAUAUGACACAGAACACCGAUUGCGAAGGCGGCUAGCUAAGCUGUUACUGACGCUGAUGCACGAAAGCGUGGGGAGCAAACAGGAUUAGAUACCCUGGUAGUCCACGCCCUAAACGUUGAUAACUCGUUGUUAGCGAUAUACUGUUAGCGACCAAGCGAAAGCAUUAAGUUAUCCACCUGGGAAGUCGGUCGCAAGAUUGAAACCUNAAAUGAGUAGAGCGNGAGACGAGCGAGGACGACGACGAGGGGAGGAGG
rnacentral:rRNA from 1 species